GGUGGUUCUUGGGUGACACACCCCGGAAUCGGGCUCCCUCCUCUCUGGUUCAGGGUGUAUCACCAGAGAACCGCA
rfam:Myotis brandtii contig306824, whole genome shotgun sequence.